UCGACCUGAGCUCAGGCAAGGUUACCCGCUGAACUUAAGCAUAUCAAUAAGCGGAGGAAAAGAAACUAACAAGGAUUCCCCUAGUAACGGCGAGCGAACCGGGAAUAGCCCAACAUGUAAAUCUCCCUCGGAGAAUUGUAGUCUACAGAAGCGUGCUCUGCAACGGCCGGACCUCAAGUCCCCUGGAAGGGGGCGUCAGAGAGGGUGAGAACCCCGUCGGGUCCUGGUGCAGUUGCCUCACGAGCCGCUCUCCAAGAGUCGGGUUGUUUGGGAAUGCAGCCCAAAUUUGGUGGUAAAUCCCAUCUAAGGCUAAAUAUUGGCGAGAGACCGAUAGCGAACAAGUACCGCGAGGGAAAGAUGAAAAGAACUUUGAAAAGAGAGUUAAAAAGUGCUUGAAAUUGUUGAGGGGGAAGCGAUUGGCAGCUGUGUGUGCACCCAGGCUUACGCCGCCUUGACGGGCGGCUGCAUGUGCUGGGUGCUGGUCAGCAUGGGUUAGCCUGGCAGGAUAACCGCGGGGGUUGUUACCCCGUCUAUGCUGCCGGGUUGACCGAGGCGUGAAGGCCGCUCUUGUCCUUCGGGAUCUGCGGCCUCGAGAUGCUGGCGGAAGGCUUUCAAUCGGCCCGUCUUGAAACACGGACCAAGGAGUCUAACAUGUAUGCGAGCUGGUGGGUGGCAAACCCAUGAGGCGCAAGUAACCUGACUGGUGGGAUGGCGUAAGCCUGCACCAUCGACCGACCAUGAUCUUCUGUGAAAGGUUCGAGUACGAGCAUACCUGUUGGGACCCGAAAGAUGGUGAACUAUGCCUGAGCAGGGCGAAGCCAGAGGAAACUCUGGUGGAGGCUCGUAGAUGUGCUGACGUGCAAAUCGCUUUUCGGACUUGGGUAUAGGGGCGAAAGACUAAUCGAACCAUCUAGUAGCUGGUUCCCUCCGAAGUUUCCCCCAGGAUAGCUGGAGCUUGAUCAGUUUUAUCGGGUAAAGCUAAUGAUUAGAGGUUCGGGGGAUGAAACAUCCUCCACCUAUUCUCAAACUUUAAAUAGGUAAGACGUGUGGGUUGCUUGAUUGAACCCAUGCAUUCAAUGAGAGCUCCAAGUGGGCCAUUUUUGGUAAGCAGAACUGGCGAUGCGGGAUGAACCGAUAGUCGAGUUAAGGUGCCAGACUACGCGCUAACCUAGAUCCCACAAAGGGUGUUGAUUGAUACAGACAGCAGGACGGUGGUCAUGGAAGUCGAAAUCCGCUAAGGAGUGUGUAACAACUCACCUGCCGAAUCAAUUAGCCCCGAAAAUGGAUGGCGCUGAAGCGCGUGACCUAUACUCGGCCAUGGGGGCAAGUGCGAGGCUCCCAUGAGUAGGAGGGCGUGGGUGUCGCUGCGCAGCUUGGGGCGCGAGCCCGGGUGAAGCGGCACCUAGUGCAGAUCUUGGUGGUAGUAGCAAAUAUUCAAAUGAGAACUUUGAAGACUGAAGGGGAGAAA
rnacentral:rRNA from 1 species